GUGAGUGAGUGAGUGCUCCCACAUGACAAAGCUCCAGCGCGUCUGGAAUCCAGGAGAACUGAUCUCAGCAAAACCCCGUCGACAAGCUCGAGUUUGCAUCUCUACCCGCAGCCGUGACCGAGAGGCAACUUAACUUUUGUUAGUUAUUCCGAGAUUAUUAACGCGAGCCACGCAGCUCUCCUUCCUCUCCUGCUCCAAGUGAACUUUGAAGGGAUGUUGUAGUGAGAGAGCAGCAUCACUUAGUGUUCAAGUGAGUGUAAGGCGCACGUGAAGACUCGGUCCACUUAUUCCCUUUAUUCCACUUUUUGUUCGGUUUUAUUACUCAGGAGAGAGAGAGAGAGAGAGGGAAAACAGAGUGUGGGUGCGCGCACGAGAGACACACACACACAUACAGAGAAAGCGCGAGAGAGAGAGAGAGAGAGAGAGAGGUGCACAGGUUUUUCGGAGCUACGCUUUCAUGCCGUCAGUCUUGCGGACUCUGAGAUGGACGUCAGAUUUUAUCCAGCUCCCCCUUCAAGCGUGGGUUCAUGUACGUUACCGACUGACUCCGGCUUGGACUAUUACAACUCAAACAAGAGCAGAUACGGUGCUGCAGAUCGAGGUGUGAGGCUCUACAGUUCCCUGCCCAUGCGCCCAAACCCUGACGGCAAGAGACUGCCCUCUACUGGGUUUGAUGGUGACAACAUGUACAUGAAUGAGAACCACGAGUUCCUCCCGCCAAACCAGAGCUACACAGGUCAGGCUGGAGGCAGCGGCGGAGGAGGCGGCGGCAGCAGUGGAAACGGUGAUGAAGACUAUGAGAUCCCUCCCAUCACUCCACCUAACCACCCCGAGCCACCUCUUCUUCACCUGAUGGAGCAUGACUCUACAGGCUACCUCUGCCACUCGCUGUCACACAAUGGGCUCAUCAAUCCAUAUUCCUACCCAGAGCUGCCCACACUCAUGAUGUCCAAUAUGCUGGCACAGGACGGCCACCUGGUCUCCAGCCAAAUGCCCUCGAUGCAGGAGAUGGCUUUGCAACACCACCAACAGCAACACCAUCACCAGCAUCGAGACGGCGCUCAUUAUGAACCUGCCCAUAACCACCCCCUGAUAAACAGGUCACCUCCGAUACUGUCCAACCCCAUGAGUGCACUGUCUCAGCUAAACUCUCAGGUCAGCCGCGGUGCACUGCCUCACGGCUCCCCCUCACCUCCUGGAAGUAAAUCAGCCACACCCUCCCCCUCGAGCUCCAAUCAGGAAGAGGAGACUGAUCCUCAUUCGAAGAUCACGGGCGAGAAGCGGCCAUCUUCAGAGAUGAUGAAGCCCAAGCCCAAGCCCCAAAAAAAGAAGAAGAAGAAGGAUCCCAAUGAACCCACAAAGCCCGUGUCGGCAUAUGCAUUGUUCUUCAGAGACACCCAGGCGGCCAUUAAAGGACAGAAUCCCAACGCCACCUUUGGUGAUGUGUCCAAGAUAGUAGCCUCCAUGUGGGACGGUCUGGGAGAGGAGCAGAAACAGAACUACAAGAGGAAAACAGAGGCUGCAAAGAAGGAGUACCUGAAAGCCCUGGCCGCCUACAGAGCCAGCCUGGUUUCCAAGACAUGUCAUGAUCCAGUGGACACAAAAAGUGCCCAAACAAGCCAGGCCUCUCCACACAUGAUGUCAGCCAACCCGCCCCUGUACAGCGUGCCACCUCCUCCACAGCCGUCGUCACCCUACCUGGGGCCCGGGGCCUUCCCUCUCACCGACCUGCAGAGCUACGCGGGACACGCCCCUCGCCACACCCUGUCGCAGACGCUCAGCCAAUCGCAGAUUCUGCCCAGCAUUAGUGCCUCUCCCCCUUCCUCCUUCCAGAUCAGCCCCCCCCUUCACCCCCACCAGCAGCUCUCCCUGCACCAGAGCUCGCUCCUCAACCAGCCUAUCCGCAUGCAGCAGGUCCAGUCCCAGCAAAUCAUUCCUCACCAGAUGGGGCUGCAGGCCUCUCUUCACUCCCCCCCUCAUGGGCAGCAGGGUUUUUCUCACCUCCAGUCAGAGUAUCAGAAGAGCAUUGGGGGUUCCCAGUCUCCAGGAGCCCCUGGCCCUGGUCCUGGUUCUGGAGUGGCUCAGAGCCAUGACUGGGACAAUGAAUACUGCAAUCGGGAGUGUGGCAACCACUUCAGGUUGAGACGUCUUUGAGAGGUGUAGUGAGGCUUUUUAGGUUUGCCUAAAGCCACAGUUGCCCUAAAUUAGCAGCAUUGUGGCAGCAUGAUAGGCAGGGACAAGCCACUCUACCUCACCUGAAACAGAAGAUCUCUGUCAAACAAAAUACAACGCAGAGGAGUCUACUCUCACCCCGACCCUCCCUGUCACCCCCCCCCCCCA